GGGCCUGUAACUCAGAGGAUAGAGUGUUUGCCUCCUAAGCAAAAAGCCAUGGGUUCAAAUCCCAUCAGGCUCG
rnacentral:tRNA from 1 species